CACCUUUAGAGCUCCUGCCCUUAUGGGAUAACUGAAUCAUCCAUAAAUAGUCUUUAAAGGCAGCAUUGUCUGCCUGAAAAAACCCAAAAAAAAGCUCAAGGAAAAUGAAGUAGGGGUUUUGUGUGUGGGUAAAGUAAAUACGGUUGGAAAUACAUGACUUGUUAAAAGCUUUUUGAGGACCCCACACUCACGAAAUCUUUUAGGUCAUGUGUUUGCUUUCUGAAACAUUUGCUUUCCUAGGACUGCAAGCAGCGCAGCGCAAGAUACAGAUUUCCCCAUCUCUACAAGGCCUUUUUAUUUGGUCUAGAUACACAUCUUCAAUCCUUGUUUUGAGGAUCAAAUCUGUAUUUCCUGCGUGCUUGAGGAAAGUCUGUCAGCGUGAUGAGGCAUCAGCAUCACUCAGCAGGACCUGUUGA
rnacentral:lncRNA from 1 species